rnacentral:rRNA from 1 species
ACCUGGUUGAUCCUGCCAGAAUGGUAUGCUUUCUUUGGUGAUUAAGCCAUGCAAGUCUAAGUAUAAACUUUUAUACAGUGAAACUGCAGAAGGCUCAUUAUAACAGUCACAACCUUCACGGCCUAAGAAAAGCAGCAAUGCUUAACGGAUAACUGUGGGAAACUAGAGCUAAUACGUGUAGGGCAAGGGUAAAAUCUUGCCAGAUUGUUCGCAAGAACAUGAAGGACUUAUUAGUCAAUUACAGAUAGGCCAUGUGCCUUGAUGGGGAACCAAUAUAUAUUGGUGAGACAUGAUAAUUAUCCGAAUCGCAGUACUCCUAUGGAGUGGCGAUGGCUCGUAAGCGUGUCUGUCUUAUUAAGUUGUAGUAAGUAUAGAGUACUUACUAGCUAUUAAUGAGUACGGGGAAUGAUUGUUCGAUCCCGGAGAAGCUACAUGAGAAUCGGUAGCUACAACUAAGGUUCGGCAGCAGGCGCGAAACUUACCCAAAUGUUAAAUCGAUGAGGUAGAGAAGAAGAAUAUACAUGUAGGCCAAUUUGGUGCUAUUAGUAAAUGAGGUGUGUUUAAAACAACGCCGAGUAACAAGGAGAGGGCCAAUAUGAUGCCAGCAGCCGCGGUAAUAUCAUUUCUUCGAGUAUACUUUUAAUUUGCUGCUUUUAAAAGGCCCGUAGUCGAUAAUUGAGAAGCAUAGAUGAUUGAGUCCACAAAUGUGAGACCGACACUAUGAUCUCUUCAGAGUAUAAAGUCUAUAUGGCGUUAUACUUAUUUUACCAUGAAUAAAGCUGAGUGCUUAAAGCAGGCGUAACUAGCCUUUGAAAGUUUUAGCAUGGGAUAAUAGAACAGGACCAUUUAGUUCGUAGAUUGAUAGAAGCUUGCUUCUUGAUAUCAAUGUUGGUUCCUUUGAACGGAUGGUAAUGAUUAAUAGGAGUGGAUGGGGUUCUUACUACUAGAUGGCCAGAGGUGAAAUUUUAUGAUCCAUCUAUGAGUAACGGAAGCGAAGGCGAUGAACCAGUACAUUUCCAUUGAUAAAGGACGAAAGCUGGGGGUUCGAAGACGAUUAGAUACCGUCGUAGUCCCAGCUGUAAACGAUGUCGACUGAGGAUUGAAGCUAAUCUAUUUAUAAAGAUGGCUUCAGCACUCUCAGGGAAACCGUUAAGUUUGGACUGAGGGGGGAGUACGAUCUCAAGAUUGAAACUUAAAGGAAUUGACGG